UGGCUCUCGCAUCGAUGAAGAACGCAGCGAAAUGCGAUAAGUAAUGUGAAUUGCAGAAUUCAGUGAAUCAUCGAAUCUUUGAACGCACCUUGCGCUCCAUGGUAUUCCGUGGAGCAUGCCUGUUCGAGUGUCACGUCAAUACUCACCCUCGUGAUGUCAAAGUCACCCGCGGUGGACUUGGACCGUGCCGUAGUUGGCUCGUCCUGAAAUGCAUUAGCUUGCGCUUUUAGAGUGCUGGGCACCGGUGUGAUAAUUAUCUGCGCCAACGCCUCAGGCCUCUUCAGCGGCGCUGCUUACAGCCGUCCUGACGGACAAUUUAUUACAGCUUUGGCCUCGAAUCAGGUAGGACUACCCGCUGA
rnacentral:misc_RNA from 1 species